AUGAUCCCGUUUGGUGGACAGUCAGAGGAAAGCACAUCUUCAGAAAAGUUAGACUUUGCAGGAGCCAGAGUCCUUUUGCUCAAUGCCUCUUACCCAACCCCCACCCCUCCCAGUUUAGGAACUGAGUCCUCAGACACGCCCUCCUCAUCCUGGGACCUCUUGGGACCCCGCUUGUGCGCAGGUUCCAGAGUGUUGGUCUCAGACCAGGGUUCUGGGACUUGCACAAUCCAGCAGGCCUCAAAGGAGGCCAGGAAGUCGCCUCCAAAACUGACCCUGAAGGGACCCGAGAGUCUCACCUGCGCCGCAGCCGCAGAAGGCCCAGCAGGCCCUGCUCCUGGCUUCCGCCGCGGCCUCCACUCCCCGCCACGCAGCCCGGGUCCCCGCCAGAGCCGGGAGCCGCUCCUGGGGUCCGGGUCUGGGAAUCCCAGAGCACCGUGUGCUCCGAGGCCUCUUCCCCCAGACCCUCAAGCACUCAAUGCCCAAGGCCCGGCAGGGCCUGGGCCUCGCCCUCGGGGGCCACCGACCCGGUCGCCUCCCCUGCUCGGCUGCCGGCCCUCCCCUACCUGCCUCGAGCUCCGGGCUCCUCCUCUGUUGGCGCAGCACGCGUCGCCCAGCUCGGCUCGCGCCUCGGCUCUCUUGGCCUCGUCCCUCUGCCCCCGGCCCCUUCUCUGACCACGUCACCCUCCUUCAGCCACCAUGUCCGAACUUCCGGACCCCUCUAGGAACACAGCAGUCCAACACCCCGGAGGGGCCUCGGGGCCGGGGGCCUGGCCGAGGGCGGGCUGGUUGCAACCGGCGUCCCCUCGGUGCGCUCCGGACGCUGCGCUCGCCCCGGGCCGGGUAGUCCGGCGCUGCCAGCUCUCAAUGAGCCGCUCGCCCGCUCUAUUGUUGCUCCUCAGGGCUCCAUUAGACAGAAUUGGACAACAAUGUGGCGCCUGCCAUUGGCCAGGGGAGACAGUCGGCGCUCUGAUUGGCCGGGCCCGCGCCCGGGGAGCCCCUCAUUCUACAGUGUCCGAAAGAUUCGAAACUCCGCACGCUCUGCUGAGUGCCUGCGGGAUGGGAGGGGGCGCCAGGGAAGGAGUGCGCGAGGAGGAGCGUUGCAAAUGUCGUGACAAGAAGUUUCCGUGCGCCCGAGAGCGUGUGAAUUGCUCCUAAUUACCGUGUCCGGUGCGCCUCUCCGCGUAGACGUGUGUAACCCCUCUACUCCUGGGGCUCCGGCUCCACUGAGCCACUCUCCCUUGGCCCGGGGCGCUUGGCAAGGCCUAGCUUCCCAAGUGGCCCCGGAGGCCUGGGGCGGGACAGGAGCAGGUGACAAUUCAAUUACCGCUGUCGAAGUGGGAGUGGAACCCGGGUGCCGGGGUGGGGGAGGGAGGGCGUUCACCGCAGACUUGCCAAGAUGGUUUUUGCUGGCUUCCUUCUGACCGUGACCGUGUGCUUCCACGUCCGACGGGCUCCGAGGUAGUUGAGAGCCGGUUUGCUCCCUUCCCCCGCCCUCUAUCACCUUUAAUGCUUAGUUUCUUCGUUUGCAAAGUCCUGACACCGUGGGCGUCACGGAGUGCCAAAGUAAAAAGCCGCCUUUGCGACUCCCCAGAUCCUCUGGAGGCUGGAGGAACCGGCCAGACGGUCAGACCCAUCAGCCCACAAGACUUCCGCAGGGGGCGAGGGCACUGGACCUGCUUUGACUUGGCCUUCCUCGACCCGUGCUGACGUCACGGCCCGAGAACCCCCUUGGGUCUGCGGAGGAGGUAACAAGUUCGAAUUUUGUAUCUCUUCCUAGUUAUUCCCAUCUGUUACUGAUGUUUAAAUCCUUGGACUGUGUCACCCUCCAGCUCGGACUUUUCCUUUGCCUUUGAGGCUAACAUUCUGUUACUCUCAUUUUUGCUUUCUACUUUUCUCCUUCAGAGUAAAGAAAAUUCGUUUAAAUGAAA